ensembl:lncRNA
UGGUUCUCCCAGCAACAUAAUUGCUGCAGGCUAUAUAUCAAAGGGGUAAACAAGAUGACUAGGCAGAAAACCGCUACCAGACCUUCACCUGGUCCUGUUUUCCAUCCCUCACCCAAUUAUGCCUUUCCCUUUCUUCUGCAUGCCUUUUCAGGAGAGUUGCACAGCCAGUUGUUCUGGCUGCAUUUGAACACAAGCUCUGAUCUGACUGGUAAUGGUAGCAGCUUGGCACAUGCAUGCAUAUGUUCUGUAUUUCAGCUGAGAAGUUAGGAGGGUGGGUUGUUCCCGCAGGUUAAGGCCAGCAGUUCAGCUGCGUUCUCACAACACAGAACUGGAGUUCCCAUCCUUAAAUGUGGUUAAUGAUUCCCAGAUAGGAGUAUCCAACACUUGCUCAGAUAACCUGUUAUUUAAGAAAGGGCCACAAACUACAGUGGACAGUAAAUGUUAUUAUAAGCAGCAGUAAAAUGUGGAUGUACAUCAAUAUGGGUGUGAUAGAGAGGACUGCAGCUGGAGCAGGUCCAAAGAAGGGCAACAAGGCUGGUGAAGAGCUUGGGGAAUAUGCCCUACAAGGAGCGACUGAAGGAACUGGGGCUGUUUAGUCUGGGGAGGAGAAGGUUGAGGGAAGACCUUAUUGCUCUCUUCCAAUACAUGAAAGGUGCUUACAGCAGAGCGGGGUUGGUCUCUUCUCACUGCUGACAGGUGACAGGAUGAGGGGAAAUGGCCUCAAGUUGCGCCAGGGUAAGUUUAGGUUGGAUAUCAGGAAACACUUCUUUACAGAAAGGGUUGUUAAGCACUGGAAUAGGCUCCCCAGGGAGGUGGUUGAGUCACCAUCCCUGGAUGUGUUUAAAAACCGUCUGGAUGUGGUGCUCAGGGACAUGAUUUAGCAGAGGGUUGUUAGAGUUAGGGUAGUAGGGUUAGGUUGUGGUUCGACUUGAUGAUCUUCAAGGUCUUUUCCAACCUGAGUAGUUCUAUGAUUCUAUAUCUGCUCUGAAAAUGAGUGAAUCUCUCUGGAUUAAUAAUUUACCAUUUAGUCUUGGUUCCAUUUUGUAUUUUCUCCCCAGUGUUCACAGUGGACAAACAUUGUAGCAGUGUCAUCCAGAGGUGUGCACAGCAGGAUCUGGGAAAGGAGUGAGUAGGAAAGUGCCAAAUGUGAAGGGUGCUCAGUUACUUGGGAUGAUGAGUACUAAGGUCAUGACUCUAAAAUGUAGAGCAGCACGUGGUGAAAAGGAGCUUUAAUUGUGUGAGUGCAGUGGCCUGUAAAAUAGCUCUUACUUUGUGAGAGAGCUCAGAAUCAUUAAGAAGGUAGCAGGAAUUAGUGAAAAGGUGAAUGGUGCUGGGAACUGGACUCACAAUCCUUAUGUCGCUGUGUCCUUGCCACCAGCAUCCCCUGCAGCUUCGGCUGUCUUUGAAAGGACAUAAAAGGGAGAAGGCAGAGCAAGGCAAAAAGCAGUCAGAACUCCAGUGUAAUUUUCCUGUGAUGAGUAAACACCUGUGUUGUAGCAGCUUUGGUAAAGGAGCAAAUCUGAACAGGACUUACCGCACUUCUGGUCAAUGGAGGCAAAACCUAUCAUAGGCUGUUCUUCUUGUGUGCUUUCCCUCCAGACAGCUGCAAGCAGUGUUUCCAGUCAACAGAACAGCUCCAUUUUGUCUGUACUUUUUGCCCACUCUGGUCAGCAGUGAGGUGGUAAAGUGACUGAUGGUAAAGUGUUUUAGAUAGCAGUCAUUCUUGAUCCUUUCCAGUCGUGAAGUUGGGCUGAAGCCUACACCUGUUCUAUGCUUCGGAGUGUAACUUUUCUAUUGUAUAUGCGCAGGAGGAACUUCCUGACAAGAUAGCACAGUUCCUCUACUUGCUCUGAAAGAGGGCAAGCCGCCCUUCUUGCUCCAGUUCACCCAGCACUCAGGAAGGGAAGGAAGCUCUGCAGUAAAUCUGAAUGUGAGAAGCCUAUCGUGGUUUGCUGUUGUCAAGUAGGUUUGAGCAUUUGAAACGUGAACAUGCAAAAGCAUGCAGUCAGGUAAGGGAUGAAGUUCAGAUCUGGUAUUUAAUGAGAAAGGAAUUCUUCUUCAACACUGCCAAGUGUUAUCUUGGAAAGCAAAGCCCUAAGAAGACUGCAGCUAUUUCCUGCCUACAACCACAGGGCCCCUUUCCUCAGGACAAUGAGGAACUGAUGCUUAUAAUGCUCCUUGUUUUCAAAUCUUCUGCUCUUUUUCUUUUUUUUUUCUUUUUAAUCCAAAUAAUCUGUUGUUCUUUGCAUUAUGUUUUUCUCAGAUAGCUGGGAAUAUCCUUCUCAAUGCACAAACACCGGCUGGAUAUUUGAACUAGAUCAAACGGGGGAGGAGUGGAAAUAGUGGUGUGAGAUGGUGAUGAGAACUGAACUGUGCCUGACGAGCUGUGGAAGUUCAGCACUGUCUUUCUUUCUCCCGGGCAUUCUGUGUAUUCCCUAAUAUAGUCAAUAAAGAUGUUUGUGUUUGCCAACCUAAUAUCGCUCUUCUGUUGCAAGAUAUCAUAGGUGUUUAGACCGAGUUCAGUGUUCGCAAAGAAACUGGAUUUUGACCAUCCACUGACCUCCUGUUUUCCCUAAGCAAGAGUGGGAUCACUAAGUCAAACCUAUUAUUCCCACUAGACUAACCCACACACAUGAGACCCACUGACUUCUGCAACACACUCGCAGCACCAGAAGCUGUGUGUGUUUUUGAAGCUAGGAGCAAAGAGGUUUUGUUUGUUUUUCAUAACCAAAGUUCACAUUCAGAUUUGUGCAGAAAAGUGUAGAAAAGUGUAACUUUUUCUAAAUGCGCUGUUUACGUGUUCUGAACCAUCUGAUUAAUGAAAUAAACCUAUCAAAUCCAUGACUAUUAAAAAUGUUAAGACCCAGCCUGCUCUCUUCUUCUGGGGCAAGAAACUGUAUUUAAAUGCUACGUGAUUAUGUCCGUGCAAUAGAAUCAUAGAAUCACUGAGGUUGGAAAAGACCUCUGAAAUCAUCUAGUCCAACCAUCAAACCACCACCACCACCAUGCCCACUAACCACGUUCCUCAGUGCCACAUCCUCACUCUUCUUGAACACCUCUGGGGAUGGUGAGACUUCAGUCUGUAGACAGCAAUAAGGUCUCCCCUGAGUCUCUUCUUCUCCAGACUGAACAAUCCCAGUUCCGUCAGCUGC